UCCCUGAUGGCUCAGAUGGUAAAGCAUCUGCCUACAAUGCAGGAGACCCAGGUUCAACUCAUAGGUUGGGAA
rnacentral:tRNA from 1 species